AUUGAACGCUGGCGGCAGGCCUAACACAUGCAAGUCGAGCGAGCGGCGGACGGGUGAGGAAUGUCUGGGAAACUGCCUGAUGGAGGGGGAUAACUACUGGAAACGGUAGCUAAUACCGCAUACCAUCAGAUGUGGCCAGAUGGGGUUAGCUAGUCGGUGGGGUAACGGCUCACCUAGGCGACGAUCCCUAGCUGGUCUGAGAGGAUGAUCAGCCACACUGGAACUGAGACACGGUCCAGACUCCUACGGGAGGAAGCAGUGGGGAAUAUUGGACAAUGGGCGAAAGCCUGAUGCAGCCAUGCCGCGUGUGUGAAGAAGGCCUUCGGAUUGUAAAGCACUUUAAGCGGGGAGGCGUUACCCGCAGAAGAAGCACCGGCUAACUCCGUGCCAGCCGCCGCGGUAAUUC
rnacentral:rRNA from 1 species